AGUUUUGCAGGGUUGCAUCCAGCUGUUACAGAUUUGCUGUGCAAAUCCAUGCAAAACUGA
rnacentral:pre_miRNA from 1 species